UAAGGAAUAUUGGUCAAUGGACGCAAGUCUGAACCAGCCAUGCCGCGUGGAGGAUGAAGGUCCUCUGGAUUGUAAACUUCUUUUAUCUGGGACGAAACACUUCUUUUCUAAGAGGCCUGACGGUACCAGAUGAAUAAGCACCGGCUAACUCCGUGCCAGCAGCCGCGGUAAUACGGAGGGUGCAAGCGUUAUCCGGAUUCACUGGGUUUAAAGGGUGCGUAGGUGGGUAUGUAAGUCAGAGGUGAAAUCCCCGAGCUUAACUUGGGAACUGCCUUUGAUACUAUAUAUCUUGAAUGCCGUAGAGGUAAGAGAAAUAUGUCAUGUAGCGGUGAAAUGCUUAGAUAUGACAUGGAACACCAAUUGCGAAGGCAGCUUACUAUGCGGUUAUUGACACUGAGGCACGAAAGCGUGGGUAGCAAAC
rnacentral:rRNA from 1 species